GGAGAGGUGGCUGAGUGGUCGAAAGCACUGGUUUUGAAAACCAGCGACGGUUUACCCCGUCCCAGGGUUCGAAUCCCUGCCUCUCCGCCA
rnacentral:tRNA from 1 species